GGAUGUGAGGGCAAUCUGGCAGGGACAUGUGUCGCCCCUCUGAUCGCCAGGGUUGAUUCAGGUGAUCUGGCUGGCUAGGCUGGUGUCCCUUUCCUCCCUCACUGCUCCACGUACAUCCCUCCUGAAGCUGUGUGCUUGGUCGAAGAGGAUGACCAUCCCCGAUAGAGGAGGACUGGUCUUCGGUCAAGGGUAUAUCAGUAGCCGCGCUCCCCCUCUAGAACCUCCAGACAAGCUCUCUACUAAAAAUACAAAAAUUAGCCAGUCAUGGUAUGCACCUGUCGUCCUAGCUACUCAAGCGUCUAAGGCAGGAGAAUUGCUUGAACCG
ensembl:misc_RNA 7SK 7SK RNA